GUCCACGCCCUAAACGAUGUCAACUAGGUGUUGGGAGGGUAAAACCUUUUAGUACCGGAGCUAACGCGUGAAGUUGACCGCCUGGGGAGUACGGCCGCAAGGUUAAAACUCAAAGGAAUUGACGGGGACCCGCACAAGCGGUGGAUGAUGUGGAUUAAUUCGAUGCAACGCGAAAAACCUUACCUACCCUUGACAUGUCCGGAAGCCCUUAGAGAUUUGGGUGUGCUCGAAAGAGAGCCGGAACACAGGUGCUGCAUGGCUGUCGU
rnacentral:rRNA from 1 species